rnacentral:rRNA from 1 species
GACGAACGCUGGCGGCGUGCUUAACACAUGCAAGUCGAACGAUGAAGCCGGAGCUUGCUCUGGUGAAUUAGUGGCGAACGGGUGAGUAACACGUGAGUAACCUGCCCUUGACUCUGGGAUAACUGCGGGAAACUGUAGCUAAUACCGGAUACGACCCUCGGAGGCAUCUCCUGGGGGUGGAAAGAAUUUCGGUCAAGGAUGGACUCGCGGCCUAUCAGCUAGUUGGGGAGGUAAAGGCUCACCAAGGCGACGACGGGUAGCCGGCCUGAGAGGGGGACCGGCCACACUGUGACUGAGACACUGCCCAGACUCCUACGGGAGGCAGCAGUGGGGAAUAUUGCACAAUGGGCGCAAGCCUGAUGCAGCAACGCCGCGUGAGGGAUGACGGCCUUCGGGUUGUAAACCUCUUUGAGCAGGGAAGAAGCGAAAGUGACGGUACCUGCAGAAAAAGCACCGGCUAACUACGUGCCAGCCGCCGCCGUAA